UACGUAGGGUGCAAGCGUUAAUCGGAAUUACUGGGCGUAAAGCGUGCGCAGGCGGUUUGCCAAGACAGAUGUGAAAGCCCCGGGCUCAACCUGGGAAUGGCAUUUGUGACUGGCAGGCUAGAGUGUGUCAGAGGGGGGUAGAAUUCCACGUGUAGCAAUGAAAUGCGUAGAGAUGUGGAGGAAUACCGAUGGCUAAGGCAGCCCCCUGGGAUAACACUGACGCUCAUGCACGAAAGCGUGGGGAGCAAACAGG
rnacentral:rRNA from 1 species